UACGGAGGAUGCGAGCGUUAUCCGGAUUUAUUGGGUUUAAAGGGUGCGUAGGCGGACCGACAAGUCAGCGGUGAAACCCCGGGGCUCAACCCCGGACCUGCCGUUGAAACUGCCGGUCUUGAAUUCGGAUGCCGUGGGAGGAAUGAGUAGUGUAGCGGUGAAAUGCUUAGAUAUUACUCAGAACACCGAUUGCGAAGGCAUCUCACGAAUCCGAGAUUGACGCUGAGGCACGAAAGCGUGGGGAU
rnacentral:rRNA from 1 species